rnacentral:pre_miRNA from 1 species
CCUUCGUUGACUCCGAGGGGAUGCAGCAGCAAUUCAUGUUUUGGAGUGCUCUACAAGGUUCAAAACGUGAGGCGCUGCUAUACCCCCUCGCGGAGAA